GUGAUUUGCGAUUGGUGAUUCGUGUCGGUUUAGCAUUGGUUGGUGUUGGUGGUUGGUCCCUGUACAUCCCUGUGCCCUGUGCCACGUGCAUUAAACAAUAAUUAAACGUUUUCAAUCUGUCGCGGCACUCGGCAGAUGGAACUUUAUAUUGGUCCGAUGUGUAGAGGAGGUGAAGAAAUACCUAAUCGUUCCUUCGGUUAGAUUACUUUAAUUUGUUUUUACAGUAAAACAUUAUGAUAUUCAGCGAAAGGUGACGCGACGACAAACUACAGAGAACGUGGCAAGUCAGAAUUUUAUUUGAUCGUUAAAUUGUUUCGUCAUGAAAAUGAAAUCAAAUUCAAAAAAUAUUAAAGACAGACUGAAAGAUGAAACGCUGGAUCUCAGUUUGUGCGACCUGAAAGAAGUGCCUGUUCGAGAAAUCGCAGCUGUUAAGAAGGCGACACAUUUAGAUUUAUCGAAUAAUCUGUUAGUUUCUUUGCCUAAUACUUUUGUCAGCCUUAAGCAAAUAGUUAAGUUAGAUCUUAGUAAAAACAUGUUGACAGAAAUUCCGGAAAAUUUUGGAGAAUUGAGGCAGUUGAGGCAUUUGGAUCUUUACGCGAAUCAGAUAAGCAGGCUACCGCUAAGUUUAAGCGAGUUAAAGAACUUGAGAUGGUUAGAUUUAAAGGAGAAUCCUUUAACUCCCGCAGUAUCCAGCGUCGCGGGUCCAUGCAGCAACCUAAGCGAAUGUCAAGCUUGCGCUCGUAACAUCGUUACUUAUUUGUCCCGUGUAAAGGUUACCAUCGAAGAAGAAAGAUUACGAAGAUUGAAUGCCGUUACGAAUGCUGAAACCGAUUUGAACGCCGUAGCAAAAAAGGGUGGUAAAAAGAAAAAGAAGAAAUCGGUCGAAAAGGAUAAUAAACAGGACAUGGAUAAGAAUGGAUGUUGCUUAGUAAGCGAGGAACUAAAAGUCGGUGGAAAGCAAGUAGAAGUUGAGACGUUGGGAAAAAAAGAUAAAUACGUUAAUAAGAAAUACGCGUCGAAAGGCAAUGGGUGUCAGUCACUUUUGUCCACGUUUGUAUGGCUCCUACUUAUCGGCUUAAUAUUUACGUUAUCGAUCGUAAUUCUUCCAAUGUAUUCGGAACAGUCGGAGUUGUUUGUAAAGUACAUAGAAAAGAGCACGGGUGUACCUUUGAAAGCAUUUCAGAAGCAGAGUAUCGAUACUCUUCGAUCCUCCGUACGGAUCGGAACCACGUGGACCAGACAGAUGUACGAUAAUUUUUACGACGUCUACGAAAAAAAUUUUAGAAGAAAUAGAAAUGUCCCAGACAGCGACUAAUUGUCCAAGAAUAAAGAAUUCCGGGAUUCUUGAGGACGAGUCAAGGAUCCGACGGCUGUUGAUAAAAGUGAUGGCAGGCCGAAGAAAUCCGUCGAGCUGUGGCGGUUUUUAGCUGGCGACGAUCGCGAUAUAGGUGGUCGUGGAGAUUUUGGUCGCGGAGACGCCAUUAUUCGUAACUCCACACAACUCUACGCUCUACAUCUAUUUACACAGCAGAGUCAUCACAUCGACAUCGCUCGUACCGACCGACCGACCGACCG